UACGGGGGGUGCAAGCGUUGUUCGGAAUCAUUGGGCGUAAAGGGCGUGUAGGCGGCUUGGUAAGUCAGAUGUGAAAGCCCUGGGCUUAACCCAGGAAGUGCAUUUGAAACUGCCAGGCUUGAGUAGGGGAGAGGAAGGUGGAAUUCCUGGUGUAGAGGUGAAAUUCGUAGAUAUCAGGAGGAACACCGGUGGCGAAGGCGACCUUCUGGCCCUAUACUGACGCUGAGACGCGAAAGCGUGGGUAG
rnacentral:rRNA from 1 species